GAGAGUUGUUGGAAAGAUCUUCAAACUUCCACUAGGGACUGCCACUGCCUUAGAGCACGAAAUCUGUAGAAUGGUAUAGAGAUAAAAAUUAAAGAAAUAGGACCAUCAUUUAUAGAAACCCCACAUGACUCAACUCAAGCAUUGGUUCGGCCAAGCCCGAUGGAUGGCUGCCAUUUGGCAUGGCUUGGUUGGCCAAAUCGAUUUUCCCCACAUGGCUUAUUUAUUAAACCCUUGAGCAGCUCAAGUGACAUGUCAAUUCAAUUAGCCCCAACCAAACGGCGUGCUGACACCUAGCAUCUUUUUAAUGACUUACACUGAUCUCCUGUAGAGGGCAAUCAAAUAGAUUGACACUUCAUCUAGCAUGAAAAGAUGAAUGUGAUGCUUCAUCUAAAAGAAUGGAGGCACAGCACAUGUCCCUUGCAGGACCAAGUGAAGCAACCGAGUAUACUCCUUUCAUUCGACCCACAAUUCUAGUUUGGAUUCGAGAGUAUAGAGGUAUAUGAUAUGGAUAGAUAACUCUUUCCUCAGU
rnacentral:lncRNA from 1 species